GUGCUGUGUUAGAAGAGCCAGAUGGCCUGGGGGUGCCAGUCACUUAAAGGAACCAAAAUAUCCCUGGAAGUGUGGCAAAUUGAAGGCAAAUCCUCUGCCAGAUAUCGGAAUCUUGUUCCUGAAAUCAAGUCCAUCUGUGGACACCUGGAUCUCCUGCAGCUGGGACCCACACAUUCAUUGAGACACUGGCAUCGUGUCAUGGAUCUCCACUGUCAAUCCUGGCGUCUAACACAGGAGCCAAGGACUCCCUAGAUGAAGAGGCAGAAUCUUGGGGGUAUUUAGUGGGAGAUGUGCAGGAAGAGAAACUACAACAGAAGUGCCUUUUUAUGGCUGGGUUUACUGAGGUGAUGCAGAAUGAGAGAGCGGACCUUCUCCUUCCUCCUGUGCAAGUUCACAGGGCUUGUAAAGGGUGACCAGAAGGCUGAGGCUGGGAACUUCAGGUGGACCUCAGGAAGUUUGAA